GUCGGGAGUUAGGAAAUGCAAGGAUGUUAAUAGCAUCUUUGCUUGACUAAGGCUCCGGAGGAAGCCACGGCUAACUCUGUGCCAGCAGCCGCGGUAAUACAGAGGCGGCAAGCGUUGUUCGGAAUUAUUGGGCGUAAAGAGCACGUAGGCGGCCGUGUAAGUCGGUUGUGAAAGCCUUCCGCUCAACGGGAGAACGGCAUCCGAUACUGCAUGGCUCGAGUGCGGGAGGGGAGAGUGGAACUUCUGG
rnacentral:rRNA from 1 species